UACAGAGGUGGCAAGCGUUGUUCGGAAUUACUGGGCGUAAAGGGCGCGUAGGCGGCUUUCUAAGUCAGACGUGAAAUCCCCCGGCUUAACCUGGGAACCGCGUCUGAUACUGGGAGGCUUGAAUGCGGGAGAGGGAUGUAGAAUUCCAGGUGUAGCGGUGAAAUGCGUAGAUAUCUGGAGGAAUACCGGUGGCGAAGGCGGCAUCCUGGACCGACAUUGACGCUGAGGCGCGAAAGCUAGGGUAGCAAACGGG
rnacentral:rRNA from 1 species